rnacentral:misc_RNA from 1 species
AUCACGAAAAGAAGUGGUUGUUUUUUAUUUAAAAACAGAUUGUAUCACGAGAAAAAGAAGUAAAAGUGAAGAAAUCCUUUUAAUUGAAAAUUUAGAGAUUAUCACGAGAACAAGUGGUUGUAGUUCAUUUAGAAACAGAUUGUAUCACGAGAAGAAGUGGAAAAAUAUUUCUGUAUUAUAAGAUAAAGGUUGAAAUAUAAAAAUGAAGAUGGAAGCAAAGUUUAAAAAAUUUUGCCGUAGUUGAAUUUCUUGAUGAAAAAAAAAAAAAACUGGAAACAGCUAAAAAUAAGAGUUCUUUAUUAUUCUGACAGUUAUGAAACUGCUGUAGAACAAAUGAAAAUGUUAGAGUUCACAUCAAGCGUUGAAACAGCUGCUGAUAGCGAUGAAAAAUUGUCCAUGCCACUAGCUAAAAAGUUAGCAGUUUGUAAUACAAGUGACACUGAGGAGACAUAUCCAUCAGUUUCCCCAAGAUUGAAGAAAUCUUUUAAUUGCCAAAAUAUUUUACAACCCACAACUGUUCGAUAUAUUGAGCCAUUUAGUUCGAAUCGUUCUCUACUGAUAUUUUCCUCUUCUGAUCAGAGCUUGGCAGCUGUUGUGGCUGCUUUAGGCACCCGAUUUCCUGGUAAAGGAUUACCUUGAUGGGUUAUUUGUUUGAAGGUUUCAUUAAAUCAUUUGAGAAGAAAAGUUUAGAGUUGCUUGUCAGUAUUCAAUAUGAUUUGAAAAAGUUAAACACUUGCCUAAUCAAUUUAGAAAAAGGUUUAGUGUUUCCUUCUGUUAGCAAUCAGAGCAUAGCAGGACCAUCCCCAUCAGUUAAAUGGAAUUAUUUGCCUGUUAAA